rnacentral:rRNA from 1 species
CCUACGGGAGGCAGCAGUGGGGAAUAUUGCACAAUGGGGGAAACCCUGAUGCAGCGACGUCGCGUGAGCGAUGAAGGUUUUCGGUAUGUAAAGCUCUAUCAGCAGGGAAGAAAAUUACGGUACCUGACUACUAACCCCCGGCUAACUACUUGCCAGCAGCCGCGGUCAUACGUAGGGCGCGAGCCUAUACCGGAUUUACGGGGUGUAAAGUUAGCGUAGACGGCGUUGCAAGCAAGGUGGGAAAGCCCGGGGCUCAACCCCGGGACUGCAUUUGGAACUAGGCUGCUAGAGUGUAGGAGAGGUAGGCGGAAUUCCAAGUGUAGCGGUGAAAUGCGUAGAUAUAUGGAGGAACACCAGUGGCGAAGGCGGCUUACUGGACGAUGACUGACGCUGAGGCUCGAAAGCGUGGGGAGCAAACAGGAUUAGAUACCCUAGUAGUC